rnacentral:misc_RNA from 1 species
GAUGAAGAACGCAGCGAAAUGCGAUAAGUAAUGUGAAUUGCAGAAUUCAGUGAAUCAUCGAAUCUUUGAACGCACAUUGCGCCCGCUAGUAUUCUGGCGGGCAUGCCUGUUCGAGCGUCAUUUCAACCAUCAAGCCCUGUUUAGGCUUGUGUUGGGGCCCUGCGGUUGCCGCAGCCCCCUAAAUGCAGUGGCGGGCUCGUUGUCACUCCGAGCGCAGUAGCGUAUCUCGCUCUGGGCGUGGCGGCGGGUGCUAGCCGUGAAACACCCAUUAAGGUUGACCUCGGAUCAGGUAGGAAUACCCGCUGAACUUAAGCAUAUCAAUAAGCGGAGGA